rnacentral:rRNA from 1 species
AUUGAACGCUAGCGGGAUGCUUUACACAUGCAAGUCGAACGAGUGGCGGACGGGUGAGUAAUAUAUCGGAACGUGCCCACUAGAGGGGGAUAACUACUAGAAAGAGUGGCUAAUACCGCAUACGAUUGGAGCGGCCGUUAUCGGUAUAGCUAGUUGGUGGGGUAAAGUCUCACCAAGGGCACUAUCUGUAGCUGGUUUGAGAGGAUGACCAGCCACACUGGGACUGUGACACGGCCCAGACUCCUACGGGAGGCAGCAGUGGGGAAUUUUGGACAAUGGGGGAAACCCUGAUCCAGCCAUCCCGCGUGUAUGAGAAGGCCUUCGGGUUGUAAAGUACUUUUGGCAGAGAAGCGGUAUCUGCAGAAUAAGCACCGGCUAACUACGUGCCAGCAGCCGCGGUAAUUC